UGCCUCCUCAAUAAGACUGAGCCCAGAAGUGGCUAGAUUGAGACACAGGUUAUGCAUCCAUCACAGAAAGUUUAUUGUAGUGGUGACAAUGAGACCUGUAACAUUU
ensembl:snoRNA